CAUUUUCCGCAGGCUGGAUAUAAAAGGCCUUCUUUUAUACAAUAUAGAGAGGAUUAGCAUGGCCCCUGUGUAAGGAUGACUCACAGACCUGUGAAGUCUUCCAUAUUUUU